UUCUUAUGCCCUUGCCAAAUCUAAUACUUAAUCCUUCAAGUUCCUUACAGAGGGUAGAAAAAGCUGGGGAAAAGACUGCAGUCGACUAUGGGUAACUGAGACCGCAAGUAAGAAGAAGAGAGUACUGUAUAGUAUCUGAAGGGGAGAGUACUGUGUAGUAUCUGAGACGCAAAGCAACAGGCUCCUGACUGAGCGCCUAUCACCAAUGCCUGGCAUCUGGAAGGGGCUCAAUGAAACGCCAGCUGGGCCUCAGUGUACAGAUGAAGCAGGAGGACGGCUGAGUCGUUGCAGAAGCGCUUCCAGGUUCUCAGCAUACGGACUGCAGCCAUCUUACCCCGGAAAUGACAGCUGCGCCGCAAACCCGAGAGACUCUCCGCGGCGCGACCUAUCAGAAGAUGGGAGACGCUCCUCCCCCUGGGCGACCAAUAGGGAGGGAAGAAACGAGCCUCCCACCCAACAGCCAACCGGGGAGUAGGGCGGGGCCUGAGCUAAAGCCUAAGGUUGGGGACCCCGCGAGGAGGGAAAAGAGCCUGGGGGAUGGAGGCGGGGCAGAGGGCAGCCCAAAUUUAACACUGCUGUGUAAAUACGGAUGCACCAGAGAUAAUCUUUUUAGUGUAUGGGAUGGGGGAAAUAGAGAGUGUUAAGGAAACACAAAGGAAAGGUACUUACCUCAAGAAAGUUAUGUUGCAGUAGGACCUGAGGGAUGAGGUAGAAAACAUUCCUCUUCUUCAUUUGUAAUGCAACCGCCUGAAGUACAGAAAAUAGAAUAUAUCUAUAUGUUGUAGCAAGGCUCUGGACAACUAGUUGUUUCACAAGUCCAUACAGCAGUACUUUCCAAUGACUGCCUUUUUUUUUUACUCCCAUUUAGUGUUUUUGAUUACCAAAAUUGGCUAAUCAAUUUUUUUUCAUGAAAGAUGAACAUUACCUAAUGUCUAAAAUAAACAUGUUACCAUCUUUCUUUUUACAGAUGCUGUCAGAUGCAGCUAACUAACAUACGCAAUACAUGUCACAGACAUAUGAUCUUGAUUUACUUGUCUCUUGAAGAAAUGUCAAAUUCGGGUCAAGUAGAACUGGUAAAGAAAAGAUCAGAACUUUCUUUUAAAAGGCAAUCUUCCUCAGAGCAACUAGGAAACCAAUUUCUGGAAAUGUCCAGGAUGACAUUAGACUGUUACUGCUUCUUACAUGGGAAUGAAAAUCUGCACAGAUGUCUAAGGAAUUACAGAGAAAAAAACUAGAACAAAUACAUUUUAAAUCCUCAACAUUGAAGAUUAGUGGUUAUGAAACAAAAUCUCAGGUAUUUCACAACUUCAUUGUUUAAUAUGACCCAAACACUUUUUCUUCUCAUUUGCCAUUUUAUGUAUUACACACCUACACACAUACACACACAAAAUCACUACAAACAAUAAAUCUUAUUAUCUUUUCUGUUUGUUUGUUUGGCAGAGAUAGGGUCUCUUGGGCCAGGCGUGGUGGCUCAUGCCCAUAA